GCCGGUGUGGCGAAAAUGGUAUACGCGCUAGGUUUGGGUCCUAGUGGGCUGUGAUCCUUUGCCGAGGUAGCCCAUGCAGGUUCGAUCCCUGUCACCGGCACCA
rnacentral:tRNA from 1 species